UACAGAGGGUGCGAGCGUUAAUCGGAAUUACUGGGCGUAAAGCGUGCGUAGACGGUCAAGUAAGUCGGGUGUGAAAGCCCCGGGCUCAACCUGGGAAUUGCAUUCGAGACUGCGUGGCUAGGGUGCGGAAGAGGGAAGCGGAAUUUCCGGUGUAGCGGUGAAAUGCGUAGAUAUCGGAAGGAACACCAGUGGCGAAGGCGGCUCACUGGACCGGUACUGACGCUGAUGCGCGAAAGCGUGGGGAGCAAACGGG
rnacentral:rRNA from 1 species